UACGUAGGGUGCGAGCGUUGUCCGGAUUUAUUGGGCGUAAAGAGCUCGUAGGCGGUUUGUCGCGUCGGCCGUGAAAUCUCCACGCUUAACGUGGAGCGUGCGGUCGAUACGGGCAGGCUUGAGUUCGGUAGGGGAGACUGGAAUUCCUGGUGUAGCGGUGAAAUGCGCAGAUAUCAGGAGGAACACCGGUGGCGAAGGCGGGUCUCUGGGCCGAUACUGACGCUGAGGAGCGAAAGCGUGGGGAGCAAACAGG
rnacentral:rRNA from 1 species